UACGUAGGGAGCAAGCGUUGUCCGGAAUCAUUGGGCGUAAAGCGCGCGUAGGUGGCCCCAUAAGUCCGCUGUGAAAGUCAAAGGCUCAACCUUUGAAAGCCGGUGGAUACUGUGGGACUAGAGUACGGAAGAGGCGAGUGGAAUUCCUGGUGUAGCGGUGGAAUGCGCAGAUAUCAGGAGGAACACCAAUAGCGAAGGCAGCUCGCUGGGACGUUACUGACACUGAGGCGCGAAAGCGUGGGGAGCGAACAGG
rnacentral:rRNA from 1 species